rnacentral:rRNA from 1 species
GACGAACGCUGGCGGCAUGCUUAACACAUGCAAGUCGAACGGAAACGCCCUGCUUUUGUGGGGUUCUCGAGUGGCGAACGGGUGAGUAACACGUGAGUACCCUGCCCUUGACUUUGGGAUAACUUCAGGAAACUGGGGCUAAUACCCGAUAGGAGCUCCUGCUGCAUGGGGGGGGUUGGAAAGUUUCGGCGGUUGGGGAUGGACUCGCGGCUUAUCCGCUUGUGGGUGGGGUAGUGGCUUACCAAGGCUUUGGCGGGUAGCCGGCAUGAGAGGGGGACCGCGGACCUGGGGACUGCGAGAGGCCGCAGUCUGCUAUGGUAGGCAGUAGGCGGGAGCAUUGUCCAGCGGGGCGACGUGUGUGAAAGCAGCGUUGCGGGUGUAAUGCCCGCUUGUGCGUUGAGAACCGCUUGGCCCUGUGACGGACCGUGAGUGACGGUAACGGGUAAAUAAGCACCGGCUAACUACGUG